UGGGGAAUUUUCCGCAAUGGGCGCAAGCCUGACGGAGCAAGACCGCGUGAGGGAGGAAGGCCCUUGGGUUGUAAACCUCUUUUCUCAGGGAAGAAGCAAGUGACGGUACCUGAGGAAUCAGCCUCGGCUAACUCCGUGCCAACAGCCGCGGUAAUACGGAGGAGGCGAGCGUUGUCCGGAAUUAUUGGGCGUAAAGAGCGUGUAGGCGGCCCGGUAAGUCCGCCGUGAAAACCUGGGGCUCAACCCUGGGCGUGCGGUGGAUACUGCUGGGCUAGAGGAUGGUAGAGGCGAGUGGAAUUCCCGGUGUAGCGGUGAAAUGCGCAGAGAUCGGGAGGAACACCAGUAGCGAAGGCGGCUCGCUGGGCCAUUCCUGACGCUGAGACGCGAAAGCAUGGGGAGCGAACAGGAUUAGAUACCCGUGUAGUCC
rnacentral:rRNA from 1 species